GGGGGCCGUUAGCUCAACGGUCAGAGCAGCCGGCUCAUAACCGGUAGGUUGCAGGUUCGAAUCCUGCACGGCCCAC
rnacentral:tRNA from 1 species